CCUACGGGAGGCAGCAGUGAGGAAUAUUGGUCAAUGGGCGCGAGCCUGAACCAGCCAAGUAGCGUGAAGGAUGACUGCCCUACGGGUUGUAAACUUCUUUUAUAAAGGAAUAAAGUGAUGCACGUGUGCCUUUUUGUAUGUACUUUAUGAAUAAGGAACGGCUUACGCCGUGCCAGCCGCCGCGGUAAUACGGAGGAUCCGAGCGUUAUCCGGAUUUAUUGGGUUUAAAGGGAGCGUAGAUGGGUUGUUAAGUCAGUUGUGAAAGUUUGCGGCUCAAACGUAAAAUUGCCAUUGAUACUGGUGGUCUUGAGUGCAGUUGAGGUAUGCGGAAUGCGUGGUGUAGCGGUGAAAUGCUUAGAUAUCACGAAGAACUCCGAUUGCGAAGGCAGCUUACUAAACUGCCACUGACAUUGAUGCUCGAAAGUGUGGGUAUCGAACAGGAUUAGAUACCCCUGUAGUC
rnacentral:rRNA from 1 species